rnacentral:lncRNA from 1 species
AUGAGUGCAGGGCUAGGUCACUGCAGAAAAAGAAAAUGGAAGGGGAAGACAUGGAGACAGGGACUAAGAAAAAACUAUUGCUUUGCAUUUCCUUUGCUAGAUGAUUUGGAUGCUGGAAGAUGCCUCCCUGCUGUCCCCUUUGCAAACUCUUCAGAAGGAAAGGAGGGGCCUCGCGAGACUGUUCGCCUUCAUAAAUCAUCCGAAGUGGGACUCAGCAGCCAGCACCAGUCCGCCCAAGCUGCAGGUGCCCGGAGCACGAAGGCAGCUGAGGAAGGGUCAGCUCCCUGCCCAGCGCUGGGAGGACGAGAGCCUCGGCACAUCCUCCUGUGCAGUGACAAUACCUUAUGAGUUUUGAUCAUCUGCUGACUGGUCUUGCUCCACACUAACAGGUGCAAUUCAGCCUUCAUAGAAAGUUAGGCACCCUGCCAGUCCUAAAACUCAGCUGCAUCCUUCACUUACGUUCUGAUGCUGAGGACUGGUGACACGCCAAAACUUCACAAAACGCCCCGUCUGCCAAGAAAUGCUGCUGCGUGGCACAAGUAGCAAUCCCUCGCCAUUGAGAUCUGCUGCACUGUUUGGAGGAAAACAAGAAAAAUUUAGGCCCCUAUAGAAGUGAGACUAUUGAGGAAUUAAUGAAAUCUCUCAGUUUGGAGACUCGCAGAUGCUCUUCUAUUGGGAGUGUGCCGAGCCUGUCAUAAAACCCCUUUGGAUAAGAUGCAGUAAACAUCUGGUACCUUUUUUUUUUUUUUUAAAUAAAAACUAUAAUUGUUUUAGGCCUUGUUGUCUG